AUUUAAAUUCAUGAAAAUUUGAUUCAUAUUGUUCCACCAGCAAAAUAGAAUAAUGCUGAAAACGAAUGCACACAGGAAGAAGAGUAAGUGCACUAGAUUACAAAGACUGGGGUGGACCUCUUUCUUAAUGUCCAGUGGCUUUUGUCUUAAGAUUUGGCACAAUAUGU